rnacentral:rRNA from 1 species
AUUACCGAAUUGUCAACACGAGUUGUUGCUGGUCCUCAGACGAGGGCAUGUGCACGCUCUGUUUACACAUCCACUCACACCUGUGCACCCUCUGUAGUUCUAUGGUCUGAGGGGCUCUGUCCUCUCGCCGUGGCUCUAUGUCUUUACACACGCACUGUAAUAAAGUUUCAUGGAAUGCAUGACGCGUUUAACGCAAUACAAUACAACUUUCAGCAACGGAUCUCUUGGCUCUCGCAUCGAUGAAGAACGCAGCGAAAUGCGAUAAGUAAUGUGAAUUGCAGAAUUCAGUGAAUCAUCGAAUCUUUGAACGCACCUUGCGCCCUUUGGCUAUUCCAGAGGGCAUGCCUGUUUGAGUAUCAUGAACACCUCAACUCUCACGGUUUGCCGUGAUGAGCUUGGACUUUGGAGGUCUUGCUGGCCUGUGGUUGGCUCCUCUCAAAGAAUCAGCUUGCCAGUGUUUGGUGGCAUCCCAGGUGUGAUAACUAUCUACGCUUGUGGCUUUCCCCAGGUAACCUUCAGCGAUGGAGGUUCGCUGGGGCUCACAAAUGUCUCUCCCAAGUGAGGACGGCUUCUUGAAUGUUUGAUCUCAAAUCAGGUAGGGCUACCCGCUGAACUUAAGCAUAUCA